GACUUACAAAUUCACUGACGAUGAAACGAUAGGCGAGAAAGGGGACGAUCAGCCCCCAAAUCACAGCCGUCUUGGUGGUCUGCUUGUUAAACCGGAAGUGCUCCGCCUGGUUCUCCCUCAUGUAGAGCCACUCCUCGAGGUGCUUGUUGGGCUUGAACUCCAUCCCGCCCACCAUCGCUCUAGCUCUAGAUCUAAAACAAGUUUUAGGGUUCUUGAGAAAGACGAAGAGAAAAGAAUUUAGGGUUCUUGAGAACGCUAUCCUCCCAUUUGUAACUUAAGCUCGGGAUCGUUGCUAAAUCCCGCGACAGCGCCAGAGGCGGAUGCCCGGAACUUAAACACAAUCGCGCCAGUUCCCUUCUUGCAAUUCUUCGCUGGCGCUACGAUCUUCUCAAUCGGCCCAAACAAUCCCAGAGCCUCGCGGAGCUUGGCCUCGUCGUAUCCGGCGCUGCAAUUCCAGCUCGCGCACACUGUUCUCUCGCAGGCCUCGCCGCUCACGCCGCUGGCGACCUUGAUCCGGGCGAGCUCAUCGAGAGAGAUCGCGGCGGCCUUGGCCACGGACGAGGAUGCCCCCGAUGGUUUGCUAGUGGGCUUCUUGAUGACGAGAUUGAGGCCCGAGACCUGGGAUUUCUUCUUCUUGCGCUUGGGCGGGGGUUGGAUCUGCGGGCCUUUGAGGAUGCUGGAAUACAACUCACAGUCAUAGCGCUCGCGCUUGCUGUCGUCACAGAGUACCUUAUAGGCGUCCUGGAGGGCCUGGAAAUCCCUAGCCGCGGUCGCCUGAUCGUCCAGGCGCUUGUCCGGGUGGCAGCGCAGCGAUUGCGCCCGGUAGGCGCUGCGGAUCUGUGCCGAGGAUGCGUAGGCGCCGCCGUCCAAGCCUCCCUGGAGACCUAGAACCGUGUAGAGAUCCUUGCGCUCUUGCUGCCCCCCUUUCUUCAUCUUUCCCGAGAGCCCAGCCCUA
rnacentral:lncRNA from 1 species